GCCGAACUUCACAGGUUAAGGGCACAGUCCUCCACAAGACCGCAGCCACCACUCAGUCUCAGGGCUUCCCAAGCCAUGCUGAUUUCUGACCAAUUGGCUACAAAUUUGGGACUUUGCUAGAAUGACUCAGAACUCAGGAAAGUGGCACACUUACAAUUAAAAUCAUAACGUGGCAAACGAAGAGACUCAAAAGCAUGAGGUGUCCUUUCCUGGUAGAGUUAAGACGCAUCAAUCUCAGCUCCUCGAUGCGUAACAUAAAGAUACUGUCUCUGUAGUUUCUACUGGGGCUUCAUUAAAUAUGCAUGAAAGACACUUCUAUUACUCUGGAAAAUCCAAGGAUUUAGAGGCUGCCUUCCAGGAACUCAGGACAAAGGCCAUCCAAAUUUUUGUCGUUAGAACACCUUGCUUUUGUCUGUCAUGUAGUCUUUGUAAGGAGUACAAGUUGCUAAUUCUAUCUCGGACAGGGGCUUGAGGAAUGGGUGAGGUCAUUAAUUGGGUUAGACACCGAGUAGCAGACUGGUUCACAGCACUAGGCUGUUUGCCGUUGCUGCAACCUCAGAGUUCAGCAGAAGUCGAUUCGGAGCCCCAGGAACCCCGCUCACAGACCCUGCCUCCUGACCUCCUGCAGGGCUAAACAUCUAGGGCCGCACAUGCGCAGUUCACUGCCCCACGGCGCCUCAGGCGGUCCCGCCCCUGCUCUUCCGGUGGGCCAGAGCACAAUGCCCAAACCUAAACGAGUCCCUGUGGUGAACCCUGGCAGCACUGACUGCGACAGGGGUGCGAGGUGCGCGGCCGAGUGGGGAGGUGUCCGUCAGGACUGGGAUUUACCUGAAAAGUGGCAUGAACCACAACCCACGUCAAUUCAUCUAGAGGAAGUGGCCUCUGGCAACUGGGUGUUUCUCAUCCCAGGACGCACGGAUAGCCCCGCACAACUCCUGAGAUCUCGCGAGAUCGACCUGCCUCUGGGGAGAGUAGGAGGUAGUGUCCUGGGACUGCUUGCUCUCGACCUCCUAGACUACCCCGACGACUACAAAACUGACUUGGGUGAGGAAAUUCUACCAAAAACUUUAAUAUGA
rnacentral:lncRNA from 1 species